GAUGAACGCUGGCGGCGUGCUUAACACAUGCAAGUCGAACGAAGCACCUUGAUUUGAUUCUUCGGAUGAAGAUCUUGGUGACAGAGUGGCGGACGGGUGAGUAACGCGUGGGUAACCUGCCUCAUACAGGGGGAUAACAGUUAGAAAUGACUGCUAAUACCGCAUAAGACCACAGCACCGCAUGGUGCAGGGGUAAAAACUCCGGUGGUAUGAGAUGGACCCGCGUCUGAUUAGGUAGUUGGUGGGGUAACGGCCUACCAAGCCGACGAUCAGUAGCCGACCUGAGAGGGUGACCGGCCACAUUGGGACCGAGACACGGCCCAAACUCCUACGGGAGGCAGCAGUGGGGAAUAUUGCACAAUGGGGGAAACCCUGAUGCAGCGACGCCGCGUGAGCGAUGAAGUAUUUCGGUAUGUAAAGCUCUAUCAGCAGGGAAGAAAAUGACGGUACCUGACUAAGAAGCUCCGGCUAAAUACGUGCCAGCCGCCGCCGUAA
rnacentral:rRNA from 1 species